CUUACCAGGUCCAGACACAGUUAGGAUUGACAGAUUGAGAGCUCUUUCUUGAUUCUGUGGGUGGUGGUGCAUGGCCGUUCUUAGUUGGUGGAGUGAUUUGUCUGGUUAAUUCCGAUAACGAACGAGACCUCAGUUUAUUAAUUAAAUAAAAAAAUAUUAACAAUAUAAGGGUUAAAAAAGAAUAUAUUAGUAUUUAUAUUAAUAUACCUUUUUUAAAACUUGUUUAUAUUUCAUUUUAUUUUCUUAAAAAGACACUUGGUGUUUAACCAAGGGAAGUUUGAGGCAAUAACAGGUCUGUGAUGCCCUUUAGAUGUUCUGGGCCGCACGCGCGCUACACUGAUAAAAUCAAUAAGUUUUUUUAUUAAAUUAACCUUAAUAGAAAUAUUUGGGUAAACUUUGAAAAUUUUAUCGUGCUGGGGAUUGACAAUUGUAAUUAUUUGUCAUCAACGAGGAAUUCCUAGUAAACGUAAGUCAUCAGCUUACGUUGAUUACGUCCCUGCCCUUUGUACACACCGCCGUC
rnacentral:rRNA from 1 species